UUACAGCCAUAUCAUGUUGAAACUCAGGUUCCUGUAUGAUCACUGAAGUUAAACAACAUCAAGCUUGGUCAGUACCUAGAUGGGUAACCACUUGGGAAUAUCAAGUACUGUAAG